UACGUAGGGUGCGAGCGUUAAUCGGAAUUACUGGGCGUAAAGCGUGCGCAGGCGGUUCGUUAAGACAGAUGUGAAAUCCCCGGGCUUAACCUGGGAACUGCAUUUGUGACUGGCGAGCUAGAGUAUGGCAGAGGGGGGUAGAAUUCCACGUGUAGCAGUGAAAUGCGUAGAGAUGUGGAGGAAUACCGAUGGCGAAGGCAGCCCCCUGGGCCAAUUCUGACGCUCAUGCACGAAAGCGUGGGGAGCAAACAGG
rnacentral:rRNA from 1 species